CCCUUAGUAACGGCGAGUGAACAGGGAAGAAGCCCAGCACCGAAGCCUGUGGUCAUUUGGCCCCUAGGCAAUGUGGUGUUCAGGUUAGCUCGCGAAGAUGCUGCUCCACCCUAAGUCCUAUAAUGAGUAAGGUUACUCGGACAUGGCCCAAUGAGGGUGAAAGGCCCGUGGGGGUGGAGAUUCAGAAUGGCCAGUAUCUUCCUGAGCAGACCUUGGAGUCGGGUUGUUUGUGAAUGCAGCCCAAAGCGGGUGGUAAACUCCAUCCAAGGCUAAAUACUAGCACGAGUCCGAUAGCGAACAAGUACCGUGAGGGAAAGUUGAAAAGUACUUUGAAGAGAGAGUAAACAGUGCGUGAAACCGUUCAGAGGUAAACAGGUGGAGUUGAACUGCAAGCUCUGAGGAUUCAGCUGGUGAGUAUGGCAUGAGCUUGGUCAUAUUGGUUGUGUGCUCGGGUCUGCUUAGCUGCAGGUCCCCGCUUCGGUGGGGAUGCGCGAAUCACUCAU
rnacentral:rRNA from 1 species